rnacentral:misc_RNA from 1 species
UCUCCGUUGGUGAACCAGCGGAGGGAUCAUUACCGAGUUUACAACUCCCAAACUCCCUGUGAACUUAUACCUUUACACCGUUGCUUCGGCGGGUCUUCGCCCCGGGCACCAGGCCACGCUCACCUGCCCCUCCCCCCUCCCAGGGGGCGGCGGUCAGGGGGGCGGGCCGUCCCGGAACCAGGCGCCCGCCGGGUGACCCAAACUUUUGUAUUUAUUACCUUUUGGCAUGUCUGAGUGGAAUCAUUACAGAAUGAAUCAAAACUUUCAACAACGGAUCUCUUGGUUCUG